rnacentral:rRNA from 1 species
GAUGAACGUUGGCGGUGCGCUUUAUGCAUGCAAGUCGUACGGAGCUGUAGUUUUCGGAUUACGGUUCAGUGGCGGACGGCUGAGUAACACGUAGGUAACUUGCCCGCGAGCGGGGGAUAACUUGCCGAAAGGUAGGCUAAUACCGCAUGGCAUGGAUUUGCUAAAGCAGAUUCAUUAAAGUCGCAAGACACUCGCGGAUGGGCCUGCGGCUGAUUAGCUAGUUGGCGGGGUAACGGCCCACCAAGGCAGUGAUCGGUAGCUGGUCUGAGAGGAUGUCCAGCCAGAUGGGGACUGAGACACGGCCCCAACUCCUACGGGAGGCAG